AAUCCAUCGUUUGUGGUAUUACUCUGUAGUAGGAUAGUAUUCUGUAGGAACUUUAGAUCUAUUUUUUAAAACUAUUAAAAUUAUUCUACAGUAGGGGUGGGCAAAUUUGCCACUAAGUUUCCCAUUUUUUCAAUCUGAAAUUCAGUUCUCAAAUUGCUGUGAAAAUGUGGAGGGUGUCAUGAAAAUUCAUUAGCAUUUUGUGCAAAUUUCUCCUAAUAAGCACCUCUUUGUAUGUAGUUUUGACUAAUACACUUUUUUUUUUGCAAGAAUUUCCCCCUGACUGAAUGCAUUUUCCUAUGUUGUAUGUGCAUUUUGUGAACCUAUCCCCUUAAAUACAUGAAGUUUUGUAUGUAUUUUUUGGUUGGUGAACUGCUAUCGCCCACUUGUGGAUCGUGAGCCACCAGUUGUAGGCCAGUGGCCCAGAUGAUCAAAAGAUGUGCAUCUCAGCAUAAAGCAAACUUUGAAUGUUGCUUUAGACGUGGGAUGAAGAACCUUUGUCCUUCCAGAUGUUGUUGAAUUCCAGCUUCCAUCAGCAGCAGCCGGCAUGGUUGAUGGUCAGGGAUAAUAGGAUCUGUAGUCCUAGAACAUUUAGAGGGCCACAGGUUACCCAGCCUUGCUUUAGGCAAAAGAGUGGAAGUUAUAAAUGCUUUGAGAUUUUAUUUUUACCAUUUAGAUUUUUUUCCUUUUUUACUGACACCUUAUGCCAUGUUUUCCCAAAAUGGCGUUCAAUGAUUUAGGGAUAACCACCACACUGUACUGUCCACUGCUCUUUCCAUGUGGACUGGCUCAAGAAUUCUAGGAUAAAAAAAACACCCCCCAAAAAACCUCAUAUAGUACAGCUGUUAAUUCAUAGCAUUACCUGGAUGCAGAAUUUCAUUGCCAGAAACUGCUCGAUGCUACUCUGACAAAAACCACAGGAGGGCAGUAGAAGAUUUGGUUUAGCUGAAUGCCAUUCCAGUGGUCCCUAUCUGUGUAUUUUAAUCAGUUGGCAUCCCUCCCACUGAACUCUUAUCAUGUCAGGAAGUAAAAAUUUGACACUGAUGCAGAAAGGGGAUUUGAUUUUCAGUUCUGUGUGGUACUUCAUGCAUUUUCUUCAUACUUUUGUUGGCUUAGCUUAUCACUAGUGCGUGGCAAAUGAACAUUACCAGUUCCAUCCUUCGUACUAUUCACCGGCUAAAGCAGAAAGCUGGGCAUAGAAACAAUUGCUACAGGGUGUCCAAGGUCAAGGCUUGAUCUUCUCAGGAAUACAAAUGGCUAUAAAGCAUUUUACGCUAAUCAGAGACUAUCUUAUAUUUAUUUAUUUUUUCCUUCUAGUGGCCUGUUACACUCAUUUCUUUUGAAGAUGAUUUACUCAGGGGCAGCUGAAGCUCAAUGCAACCCCAAAUUCCCCAAUAGUAUCAUAGGGGAUGGGCCUCGCUGUUAGCAGUGCAAGAGCAGUACAGCUUCUCCUCCCAUCCUCCAAAGCUGUAGAAGUGACAGUAGCAGUAACUGUGUUGGCAGCCUCCCUCCUCCCUUUUAGCAUCCUUCCAUGAUAAACUAGGCCUAGCACCACCCUGGGACACUGUGGGGGAGAGAAUGGUAGCUGCUUCAAAAUCAAAUUUAGAUAACAUUCUGCAAAACUGCCAUUACCUGUAGUGACCUCUUGUCAGCCAUCACAAUAUAGUUUUACCCUGACUUGGGAAUGUACAGCUUGUGACCCAACAAGCUGAUCACAGCCCACCUGUCAUGUGCCGUUGCUUCACCAGCUCAUCAAUCCUGCCAAAAAAGGGAGGCUUCUCAAACCACAAGCAGGCCACCAUAACUAGCUGGUGGACUGAAUUUGGCAUAGCCAUGAACAAGGGAAAGGGUUCUAGCUCAUAACUCUCGUAAUUUGCAUGACCUCACCCUGGGAUCCUGGAGAGUAACUGCUCGUGUCAGUAAACAGUACUGGGCCAGAUGGACCAAGGAGCGAUCUCAAGGCUAGUGAUGCUUGAGGAAUUCAGUUUCUGUGAAAGCCAGUGCAAACUUUCCUGAUCUGCACCUUUUGGAUUGUAAGGCUUGGAACAUAAUUGUCCUUCAGAAUUGCAGCUCUCUGAAUUUUGCAGUAUAGUUUUCAGCUGUGUGUACAGUGGUACCUUGAUUUGCAACCGUUCUGGAUUACAAAUGUUUUGGAUUACAACCACAUCAAACCCUGAACUGUGUGUCCCUUUUUUUGGAUUACAACCCAUUUUUUUUGGAUUACAAUCUUAUUUUUUUUUGGAGGCCCCAUUGGUGAAAGCGUGCCUUGAGUUACAACCUAUUUUGGUUUACAACUGAAUCUCCAGAAUGGAUUAUGGUUGUAAACCAAGGUGUUGACCUUUAAAGCCCUAAACGGCCUCGGCCCAGUAUACCUGAAGGAGCGUCUCCACCCCCAUCGUUCUGCCCGGACGCUGAGGUCCAGCGCCGAGGGCCUUCUGGUGGUUCCCUCAUUGCGAGAAGCAAAGCUACAGGGAACCAGGCAGAGGGCCUUCUCGGUAGUGGCGCCCGCCCUGUGGAACGCCCCUCCCAUCAGAUGUCAAAGCAAUAAAUAACUACCUGACAUUUAGAGGGCAUCUUAAGGCAGCCCUGUUCAGGGAAGCUUUUAAUCUGUGAUAUUUUACUGUAUUUUUUGUUUCUAUGGAAGCCGCCCAGAGUGGCUGGGGAAACCCAGCCAGAUGGGCGGGGUACAAAUAAUAAAUUAUUAUUAUUAUUAUUAUUAUUAUCACUGUAUAUAUAUAUAUAGAGAGAGAGAGAGAGAGAAAUGCAUUCAUUGUGAUAAAAUAUGUAUUUAAAUAUGUGUUUUGUGGUAAAAUACACACUUAACUUUGAACUUUAAUGCAGAUUUUAAAAAAUGCAGACUAAUCAGAACUAGGAUGGAAUGGAAUGGAUCCAUGCCAAAUGGAGCAGAUGUAGACAGACACAUCCAUUCCUACUAAGUGGGAGGCACUACUAUAUACUCAGGUUGUGCAGGGCUUCUCUUCUUUACAACUGAGCAGGGCUGGCCCAAGAUAUUUGCUGUCUGAGGGGAAGGACAAAAUGGUGCCCCUGCAUCCCAUAUACAGGGCUGGCAUUUGAACUUUGUUUCAGUUCUGACAAUGGGGUAGCAUCCUCCACUCAUAUCUGAGGGGGUUCAGGGCAGGCUUGGUGGCAGACACAGCUGUGUCACCCAAGAGAGAUGCAUGGUUGUUGGGCUCAGGAGGGGAGCUUCACCUGCUGUCUGAGGCAGUUGCUGAGCUGUGGCAAAUGAUAGGACUGGCCCUUCAUAUACAUUUCAAGAAGCCUUCAUGAAACAACACCCUGCUACAUGAACCCCAAAGCAAACGUGAUUUAAAAUAAGUUUAAAUGUGUGUGUUGUUUGGAAGAUGUAAAAAAAAAAAGUGGAUGUAAAAAAAAGGGGAAAGUCUGGCUGAUAGUAUCGUGAGCAAAGGCCACAGUGGCCAGUUAUGGCUUCUGCCUCGGUUCCUAAUAUUAUGCGUGAACUUACAAUUCCCAAAGAGAUCCUGUUGAGCUCAACAGGAUUUACAAUAGUCUAUGUGGAUUCAGGAUUGCUGGCGAUAAGAAGGAUGUCUGCAAUUAAGGUCAGACUUUUGAAAAGAUACGAGCAAGUGAAGAAUAUUAAUACUACCCAUAAUCUCUGCUGGCUCCAUGCCUGGCCAUUAACUUUGUUUAUUUUCCAACACCAUUGCCUUGUGCUGAUGCUUGAAGCAAACAUCAGUGACAAAUGAUCCUCUUAAGCAAGUGCAAGUGGCUGGAGGCAGCGCUGGGGGCUAGGAACACAAAGUGGACUCGCACCAAAAUGCCUUUUCCUCCUGCCCUCUGUGCCACUGGUAUCGCUAGAAGGCUCAUCCAUUUCAGCUAGCAACAGCAACACUAGAAAGACCUGGCCCACAGAGGGCAAGGAGCCUCUGCCUCGGCAUCAAGCAAUAACAGCUGACAGAAGGCAAAUGCAUUUAACAUAUGAUCAUGAGCUAAAAUCUGCCAACCACCUUUGCUUCCUUUAGGGAGCUCCACAUGCCUAUCACCCAAAUUAUUUUUCCUAAAAGCAGUGGGGCAAAUGUUCCAAACAAAGCUUUUUGUCGUUGCUUCCAGAUUUAAUGACCAUUCAUUCUUAUUUGUUUGUGCAGUUUGUGGGCAGGCUAUACAUUAUUGGCUGGCAAUCGAGCAUAUGUUUUGAUUUCUUUGUGGGAAGAUUAUGCUAUGUCAUGAAAAGCAGUUGCUAUCCCAUACUUGCAGGAAAGUUUUCCCAGUACAUUUUGGGGGAAGGGCUGUAGCUCAGUGAUAGAGUAUCAGUUUUCCCAAGCUCAAACUAUGGUGUUUCCAGGUAGGGCUGGGAGGCAGACAAUGCCUGAACACCUGAAGAACCUUUGCCAGUCAGUGUGAACAAUUACUGUCAUAGAUAGACUAAUGGUCUGACUCAGUAUAAGGCAACUUCCUAUGUGCCCCUCACUUUCCUUACUGCAAACAGUCCAUUUUGUGUGUGGAAGUGCAGCCUUAAUUUGCUAGUAUGACACUGAAUCUCACUGGAUUUUUUUUUUAAGUGCCCUGAGACUCAUACUGGGAGGGCAUAUGGCAAUUAUUGUUAGACAGUUGCUAAGGGGCAACCAGGAAUAGGGCUUUAUUUGUGGUGGCACCUAUCUUAUCAAACAUUCUCUCCUCUGAGCUCUAGCAAGCAUCUCCUUUGAUGUGCUUCUUCUGACAACUGAAGACAACCUUGUUUGCCCAUGCAUCAGCAGACCCUCAAUCACCAGCUCACUCACUUUUUGAGAUUUGUGCGCUGUCUAUUGUACGAUGUAUUUAUUGCUUAUGAAGUUUUAUGAAGUUGUGCACCAAUCACUGCCAGAAAAAUACAACCAGAGAACAUAUUCACCCUGUUCUCCCCCAUGCAGCAGUUCACUUCUCAAUUACUUCCAGAAAAUCAGGAGGACUGGAAGGUAGGGUGUUUUCUGCUGGGCAGGGCUCUGAAAAAUGUGGCUUUCCUGGCUGCAGUCGCCUGAGAGAAACGAGAUUCUGGUAGGCUUCUGUUUAGAACUCUUAAUAAAAGCAAUUCUAUUUGAGGUGAUCAUCUCUCUGCAGCAUUCUUUGUACAGGAUUGUGUUUGCAAAGGGGGAUUGCCACAUUAAAUUCACAUUUAGCGUUGCACACCCUUUUCUUGUUUAUUCUUCCCUGUUCUGAGCUAGAACAUGACUGUUUGCAAUUCAUAUGGGAAUAAAGUGAAGGAUUUCAACAUAUGUAUGAUGCAAGCCACCCUUCUCCCACAAAUAUGGCAUUAAAAGGUCAUGGUAAAUAAUAAGAAAAUUACCUAGCAUUUGCAUGUAGUGUUCCAAGCACCUGCUUACAUUAUUUAUUUGUAAGGAUUACAACAUCACUGUGCUAUUAUCCUCUGUAUUGCAGAUUGUGUGGUAGGGAGUGGACAAAGUCAGAGGGAGGAUGGUUUGACUAAGGCUGUUAAGCGAGUUUGUGCCACAGGUGAGCAGAGCUAGUUCUUAUUACCACAACUCAUACACCAGCAAACAACGAGACAUUACAGAUUCCAAGGUGUUUACAGAACAGAUGUUGCAAAGCCAGCCACUGGUUAAAUCAACUUCAACUCAGUGCUUAUUUGCAUUUAUCUUGAAAGCUACCAGGGGAAGCAGGAUUUUGGAGAAUUGAUUUGCUAUACCGAAGCCACAUGAAUUGACUUCCGUUUUCUAGAGAUGAUGCUUAUGCCAUAAGAAAUUGGUUUGCCUUUAGGGUGCCGCAAAACUCUGUGGUUGUUUUCAUCACUGCAAGACUAUCGCAGCUACUCCCACAUUGGGAAUUUUGAAACUUCUUUUCCCUUUAUCUAAGAAAUGUUCAUAGAAAUAGUCUAAAAAUGAAAGCAUCAGAGAAAUCUCGCCAUCGGUGGAUUCAAAGUCAGGGGACACGGAUGAUGUUAAAUUACUUGGAAAUGGUCGUGUUGAGCUCGUGAAGAGCUGAGCAUUUGGCACCCUGUCCUAAGCGGGGUUUGUUUUUUGUUUUUUGUUUGCAGCACAGUGUGAUCUGUGUCCUUCCUCCUCUCCAUGAUAGGCAGACACCACUCAGCUUCACGGUUCCUGUUGAGAGAUACAGCCAAGCGUCUGCCCUGGGAGCCGAAGCCAAUUGGAAUCCUGGCAGGGUGUCAGGAAGGCCCAAGGGAUAGAACACAGCGCCUUCCAUCUCUCUCUGUGUCUAUCCCUUUAGUGUUCCAGCAAAGGGGAAGUGAGAAGGUGAGAGGGUGUUUGAAUCAGGUGUUUCGUGUGUGUGUCUCUGUCUGUGUGCAAAUAGAUUUUUCUUCUCUUCUCUUCUCUUCUUAGGAACGGAAGAUAGAUGUUGAAUUAUACUCUUAGGCUCCGAAAAGAUUAAUCAUUUUGUUACUGAAAGGUCAACACUCAGCAAUUGAGCCCAGAAUGAGCCUGCCUCCUCAAAGCAACAAUAAAAGAUAGCAAAGCGGUGGGUGGCGUGAACUUGGGUGGCACCCCCCACCCCCAAAAAGUAGAUGGGAUGCUGCCAGGUCCCCUGAGUCAUUUGUUAAAGUUUUAUUCGGUGGAAUGAAUUAGGGUGUCUGUUUUCUCUUUAAUACAAAAAUGGCCUUCAGGGAAGAAUGGGCUUUAAAUUCCUAACAUCUGAAAUACUAAUAGCAAACUCAUUUCCUGAAGGCAAGUCCUUAUAUUGACCAACUGGCCCCAUUAAUGCACAGCAGGAUGGUACUGACAGAUUUGGAGUUAUCCUGUAGUUUGCAAAACAAAAAAAUCCUUAUGUAAAAAACACUUAAGGGGUGUGUGUGUGUGUGUGUGUGUGUGUGUGUGUGUGUAAAAGCAGCCCAAUGAAGACAGCAUGCUCAGUGGUCAUGGAAUUUUAGUUGACUGUUGUAGGGGAGAAACAACUAGAAAAACAGGGGAGUGGAAGAGACAAUAGCUGGCUGGCAGCAACCCUGAAGAGGAGUAUUCCACAGGCAACAUUUUCAGGCACUUCUCACUAGUUCCCUAUAUUUCCAAUGAUCAUGGGUGAGUGUGGAUACUUAUGCAACACAAAUGGAAUUAUGGUGCGCAGGGUGAAAAUAUUGGAAGGGCUGGGUGAAUCCAAAGGUUUCAGAAAUACAAAAAAUUAGGAAAAAAGAGGGGGCUCCCAAAAGAAUUCAAUGAAGACUGAACACCUAUGAAGACUGAAUGCUGACUGAUGGUUGGAAAGGUAGCCAGAAAACUAUGGGUGGAAUGAAAUGUAGUAUCUUGGAAGAAAGCAUGGCUGGGUAGCUGGCUGGCUUGAACCUUGAAUAGGAGCACUUCACACUGCAACACUUUGUUACUGUUCUUGUUCUGUGUAUCAAUAGCCAUUAGAUAAAUUAUUUCUUGGAAAAGCAGUGUUAUGCUUGUUUGCCCAGGUACACAAUUUCCCCAGAUGUCUGUCUAAGUAAGUUAAGAAUUUCUUAUCUGGAUGAAAACAAAGAACUCCAUUAUAUAGGAAACCUAGGAUAUGUUUGAUUAAAAAUUGUCUAUUGGGUGCCAAAAGCUAAGAACCUUUAGUUUUAACUUUGGGGUUUCUUUCAAGGGAAAAGGGAGAAGUCUUGCUGGUUGAUAAUACUUUCCCAUAAAGGCAGACCUGACUCCACCUAUGAGGUUUUCAUUCUGGGACUGGACCAGGAAAACGUAAAUGUUCAGGCAAAUAACUGAAGCUCCAAACGAAACCUGCCCAGUUAUUUCUGCCUGCAUCAUGCAACCACAUUCUCCACUAACAGUUUCAUGUAGAUUCAUUAUAGAGAUUCAGUUAUGUAGAAAUGAUUAUUGACUGUUUAUCCUGUUCCAGUCUGGGGCCUAGUGGGAGGUCAAAGCUCAGCAGAAGUCUAGAACUAGUUUGCAGGAGAUCAGGACCAUGGUCAGCUCACUGUGGAACCAAGUAUACAGUGGUGCCUCGCAAGACGAAAUUAAUCCGUUCCGCGAGUGUCUUCGUCUAGCGGUUUUUUCGUCUUGCGAAGCAACCCUAUUAGCGGCUUAACGGAUUAGCGCUAUUAGCGGUUUAGCGGCUAUUAAAGGCUUAAAGGCUUAGCGGAUUAGCUGCUAAAAGGCUAUUAAAGGCUAUUAAAGGCUUAGCGGAUUAGAUAAAGGGG